rnacentral:rRNA from 1 species
CCUACGGGUGGCAGCAGUAGGGAAUCUUCCACAAUGGGCGAAAGCCUGAUGGCGCAACGCCGCGUGGGUGAAGAAGGUCUUCGGAUCGUAAAACCCUGUUGUUAGAGAAGAAAGUGCGUGAGAGUAACUGUUCACGUUUCGACGGUAUCUAACCAGAAAGCCACGGCUAACUACGUGCCAGCAGCCGCGGUAAUACGUGGGUGGCAAGCGUUAACCGGAUUUUUUGGGCGUAAAGGGAACGCAGGCGGUCUUUUAAGUCUGAUGUGAAAGCCUUCGGCUUAACCGGAGUAGUGCAUUGGAAACUGGGAGACGUGAGUGCAGAAGAGGAGAGUGGAACUCCAUGUGUAGCGGUGAAAUGCGUAGAUAUAUGGAAGAACACCAGUGGCGAAAGCGGCUCUCUGGUCUGUAACUGACGCUGAGGUUCGAAAGCGUGGGUAGCAAACAGGAUUAGAUAACCCUGUAGUC